GGCUGUGAAGGAACAUUUACCUCAACAUUGCAGCUCCAAUAAAUGGCCAUUGAAAUGAGCGGAGUUGGGUUCAAUAGGAUGGUGGAAACAUUCCACCCAAACACCCAAUCUCUGUGUCCCAAAUGGUGGUUAAGGGUUGGAGACUUGUACCUCCCUUCACCCCCUAUACCACCACACCCCUCCCAUUCCACUCAACCCCCUUCUCUGUGGCGCCUGCCCGGUGAGAAGAAAGCACAGGAAAGGUGGUACUGAUGCUACUGGUGUGGGGAACACACUUUGAGAACCACUGCACUAGAAUAGCUGUUGAACGGCUACAUCCAAGAAGGCCGUCUCUCAUCUGGACAUGAGGAGUUGAAUCUGUAGUUCCCAACCUGUAGAGGCCUUGGAGUGAUCACAGAAGAUUCCACCCAUGGCUCCAUAAAGACUCUAAGUAACCCAUCUGUGUGUAACUGAUUGACUAUGUAUAACUGUGAUUGC